rnacentral:rRNA from 1 species
GAUGAACGCUGGCGGCAGGCCUAACACAUGCAAGUCGAGCGGCAACACGAUAAGCUCUUUCUACUACCGUUGGCGACGGGCGGACGGGUGAGUCAUACAUCGCCAACUUCUUUUUCUUGGUUGAUCACGGAGGGCCAGUGCCGCUACUACCUCAUACGCCCCACGGGUUGGAGCAUUAGCGCUUCGCACCUUUCGCGGCUCAAUGAGCCGGUGUCGCAUUAGCUAGUUGUCUGGGUAAAGGCCCACCAAGCCGACGCUCCGUAGCCUGUCUGAGAGGAUGAUCAGCCACACCAGAACUGAGACACGGUCCAGACUCCUACGGGAGGCAGCAGUGGGGAAUAUUGCACAAUGCGCGAAAGCCUGACCCAGCCAUACCGCGUGGGUGAAGAAGGGCUUCGGGUUGUAAAUCUCUUUUGUUGGGAAAGAAAAAAAGCAUGUGAAAACCCCGCCGUUCUGACGGUACCUAAUGAAUAAGCACCGGCUAACUUCGUG